rnacentral:lncRNA from 1 species
CUAGAUUUGUUUUUUAAUCUGUGUUUGAGGGCUCUGGAUGAAAUUUGCCAAGGCUGUUGCACAUCUAGACAGUGACAUCAUAUACAUGUUAAGGUGAAGUCAUAGAGGAGCAGGGAAUUCCCGCCGACAGGCAGUGUUUGCCCAGGGCCAAGGGAGUGGGAGAUACCCAGCAACAGAGGACGGUACCCACUGGGGCUAGGAAGGCUUUCUAGACGGGGAGGAGAUGUGUGAAGAAGACAAAGUUAGUCAUGGAGACUCCCCUCUGCCGCCGAAAUGUCUUCUUUUGGUAACUGGCCCCAGUUAGGAGA